rnacentral:rRNA from 1 species
UGGGGAAUAUUGGACAAUGGGCGCAAGCCUGAUCCAGCCAUACCGCGUGUGUGAAGAAGGCCCUAGGGUUGUAAAGCACUUUCAGAGGGGAGGAAAGGUUAAUGGUUAAUACCCAUUAGCUGUGACGUUACCUUCAGAAGAAGCACCGGCUAACUCUGUGCCAGCAGCCGCGGUAAUACAGAGGGUGCGAGCGUUAAUCGGAAUUACUGGGCGUAAAGCGCGCGUAGGUGGUUUGUUAAGUCGGAUGUGAAAGCCCAGGGCUCAACCUUGGAAUUGCACCCGAUACUGGCAGGCUAGAGUACGAUAGAGGAGUGUGGAAUUUCCUGUGUAGCGGUGAAAUGCGUAGAUAUAGGAAGGAACAUCAGUGGCGAAGGCGACACUCUGGAUUGAUACUGACACUGAGGUGCGAAAGCGUGGGGAGCAAACAGG